rnacentral:rRNA from 1 species
UUAAAGAGCUUGCUUUUUAAACUUAGUGGCGGACGGGUGAGUAACACGUGAGCAAUCUGCCUUACGGUGGGGGAUAGCAGUUGGAAACGACUGAUAAUACCGCAUAACAUAGCGUAAUCGCAUGGUGAUGCUAUCAAAGAUUAAUUGCCGCAAGAUGAGCUCGCGUCUGAUUAGGUAGUUGGUGAGGUAACGGCUCACCAAGCCGACGAUCAGUAGCCGGACUGAGAGGUUGAACGGCCACAUUGGGACUGAGACACGGCCCAGACUCCUACGGGAGGCAGCAGUGGGGAAUAUUGCACAAUGGGCGAAAGCCUGAUGCAGCGAUGCCGCGUGAGGGAAGAAGGUUUUAGGAUUGUAAACCUCUGUCCUAUGGGAAGAUAAUGACGGUACCAUAGGAGGAAGCUCCGGCUAACUACGUGCCAGCAGCCGCGGUAAUACGUAGGGAGCGAGCGUUGUCCGGAAUUACUGGGUGUAAAGGGAGUGUAGGCGGGACUGUAAGUCAGAUGUGAAAACUAUGGGCUUAACCCAUAGACCGCAUUUGAAACUGCGGUUCUUGAGUGAAGUAGAGGUAAGCGGAAUUCCUAGUGUAGCGGUGAAAUGCGUAGAUAUUAGGAGGAACAUCAGUGGCGAAGGCGGCUUACUGGGCUUUAACUGACGCUGA